GAAACUUGUCAUAUCUUUUAAAACUGGUCCACAAUUGCAAGAUAUGUGGAAAGCAUGUCAAUAAAUUAUGCUAUAAAAUGUGUUUCAAGAUUUCCCCUCCUUGUGUUUCUUGUGACAUGUAAAACGCUCAACCAAAGUUGUUAAAUCAGCAAUCGUUCAUAUCAGCGAGUUUUAACUUUCGAACACGCCAAUCUGGGUACCGGUACUUUCGUUCGAUUCCACGAACUUCACGCAACAAUUUUUAAUUUUAACAAUGGCCUCUCUGUCUCAUCGGUCUCACCGUCAAAGACAAAAGCCAACGAGUUAUGGCUUGAGAAUGCUGGAUGCAGCUCUUCAAAAGCACAAGGCCCCUACUACUCAUGAACAUACAAAACAGGAUGCCAGGCAUUGUUGAAGCUGUCAGCCAACAAGGAAAAGAAUGGUCUGGUGAUUACAGAAGUGAACUUGGAACACAAUCAUGAAAAGUUGGACCACCACUACCCAGAGGAGAGAAGGCUGAAUGCGGCACAGCUGGAAGAGCUGCACUCUCUUUUCGAUUUGAAUGUGCCUGUUUGAAAUAUUCGGGAACAUUUCGGUAAUAAAUAUGGGAUUCCCAUAACAGAGAGAGACAUAAGAAAUUAAAAGACAGCCAGACGCCCAGUUUUGACAGAAGAAAAUCAACUGUGGCAAGAACUUAACAGUCUGGCCCAUUCAGAUGGUGUGAACACCACAAUAAUCAAAGAUAAUGCUGAUGAUAAAGUUUCAGUCAUCUUUUUACAGACUCCACAAAUGAAAGCAAUGUGGAGUAAAUAUUCACAAACCUUAUUUAUGGACAUCACGUACAAGGUUAAUGCUCGAAACAUGCCACUGUUCGUUUUUCAGGUCAGUGAUGGGCAGAACAGGGGCCAAGUUGUGGCAUAUGCCAUUGUUACCGAUGAGCGUUCAAACACUAUUUGCUCAGUGUUAGACAUUUUUAUUACAAACAAUGACUGCUCUCAGCUUGGAGCAGUUGUUAUUGACAAAGACUUUUCGGAGCUCAAAGCAGAUAAAGAAAAAUUGCCUGAUGUGGAAGUCGUACUAUGUAAGUUCCAUGUCUUGCAAGUUUUUCAAGAAAGAGUGAAAAGUGAGCAACACAAGACCGCUGUCUUAGACAUUCUCCGAGGCAUGAUACGCUGUCGGACUGGAGAGGAGUAUGAAUUGCUGCUGUGUCGUUUGGCAAGUACGGCCUGUCAAUCGUUUUUAUCCUACUUUCAAAGUAAUUGGACUUGGAACUCCAUACCGACAUUUUGGGUUGGUUGCCAUGUCCGUAAUUAUUUGCACCAUGGCAACACGACCAACAAUUUUGUGGAAAACCACAACGCAGGGUUGGUGAUUUUUUAAAUUUUAAAAAUAAAUUUUUAAAUUUUAAUCAGAUUUUAAAAAUUUAA